AUUGAACGCUGGCGGCAUGCCUUACACAUGCAAGUCGAACGGUAACGCGGGGCAACCUGGCGACGAGUGGCGAACGGGUGAGUAAAGCAUCGGAACGUGCCCAGUAGUGGGGGAUAGCCCGGCGAAAGCCGGAUUAAUACCGCAUACGACCUAAGGGUGAAAGGGGGGGAUCGCAAGACCUCUCGCUAUUGGAGCGGCCGAUGUCAGAUUAGGUAGUUGGUGGGGUAAAGGCCUACCAAGCCGACGAUCUGUAGCUGGUCUGAGAGGACGACCGGCCACACUGGGACUGAGACACGGCCCAGACUCCUACGGGAGGCAGCAGUGGGGAAUUUUGGACAAUGGGCGCAAGCCUGAUCCAGCCAUGCCGCGUGCGGGAAGAAGGCCUUCGGGUUGUAAACUGCUUUUGUCAGGGAAGAAAUCCUUUGGGUUAAUACCUCGGGGGGAUGACGGUACCUGAAGAAUAAGCACCGGCUAACUACGUGCCGGCAGCCGCAGUAA
rnacentral:rRNA from 1 species